CAUUUGCUGUCAAAACGAAAAUUUUCAUCGCAGGUUUGGUGCGCGUGGUAGGUACGCGAUGGUGUUAGAAAAAUGUUUUGCUAAAAAAAUUUCCCAAGAGAUGUAAUUCACUUCAAAAAAUGGAAAAGCAGACGAUAUUGAAGCAGAUCAGUCCACGGAGAAUCGCGCUAGAGGCAGACCCGGAUGUCUGCCGAAAAAUGAAGCCGUGACGCUGGAUUUCGGAAUGUUCAACCUGAGCUGGAAGACAUAGAACUUGCAAAAAAACACUGAAUCUCAAAGAAAUUUUCAUGUAAAUUAUUAAGUGUUUUGUGAUUCGUGAAUAAAUAUAUUGACAUAUAUGAAA